GUUUAAUUUAAAUGAAUCUGACCGCUCGAAACUGGCCCUGCUUUACUUCGAAAAACGGUCCUGCUUUACUUCGCAAAACACUUAUAUGACAACAUUCGUUUAGCCUAUAUUGAACUUAUAGUUGAUAUCAAAAAAUAUAUAGAAAGAGAUGCUGAUGUGGUUUUUCCGAAACAACAGCAGCAUCACGCAAACCUAAACCAGCCAAUAUGAAAUUUUUUGCUCUCUUCGCUUUGGUAUUGUGCGUAUGCGCUUUGGCUUUUGCCGCCCCGCAAAAGCUAGCUGACAGUAAAAAAUGCAAAGACGAUUGUUGUAAGGCCCGACAAAGUUUUUGCUGAAUUUGCUGAGGAAUGCAAAGCCGUUCAAUACAACAAGUUUAUGCCAUACUUAGGUUCAACACAAUCGCAAGACCGAUAAUAAAACCCAUAAAAUGCUGUAAAUUUUGUGAGUUUUAUUGUACAUUGUUAUGGUGUGGUUAAUAUACAUAAUGAAACUUU